rnacentral:rRNA from 1 species
UACGGAGGGUGCAAGCGUUUAUCCGGAUUUACUGGGUUUAAAGGGUGCGUAGGUGGGUCUGUAAGUCAGUGGUGAAAUCUUCGAGCUUAACUCGGAAACUGCCAUUGAUACUAUAGGUCUUGAAUCAUCUGGAGGUGAGCGGAAUAUGUCAUGUAGCGUGAAAUGCUUAGAUAUGACAUAGAACACCGAUUGCGAAGGCAGCUCACUACGGAUGUAUUGACACUGAGGCACGAAAGCGUGGGGAUCAAACAGG